rnacentral:lncRNA from 10 species
AAUGGCACUGGAAGAAAUGUGAUAACUACAGAGGCAAACAGCGACUCUGAGAAAAUUGAAUCCACCCUCAUUUGAUCCAGGUAAUAAAAGUGCUAUUUUCUGAAGAAGCAGGAAGGUUUUGUUCUCUUAUUUUUUCUCUUUUUUCUUUAAGAUUCCUUAACAAUUAGUAAAAUGUGUUUAGUCACAACAAUAGAAAUUUUGUCAAAGGUAUCAUGAGAAAAAAAGAACAAUGGCUUCCUUUGGCUUUUCACCACAAGGAUCUCAAAAUAUAACUUUGCAGUUUUCUGAACACCAAAACUCAGUUAAAAUGCAAAGAUUUAGGCAAAAAAGAAAGAAAGAAAAGAAAAGCUUUGGGGUAGGAAGAUAGUAAAUAAGAAGAAAAAAAGAAUUUAACUUCUAUAUGAUUAAGGAAGAAAAUAACUAAUUUUUCAUUUUAUUAGAGAAAUGUACACAUAUCUGUAUUCUCAUAAUAUACCCAGGUGUAUUUUACUAGUUCAUUUGCCAGGUGGGUCCAGUCCUUUGAUCAGAAUCCCAGUCUAUGGGUGGGAUCAGACAUAGACUGCAUGCCCCAAGUAUUUAAUCUGGCAUAAAGUGAUAGUUAAUAGCCCAGUAGAUCACAUGGGCUACAGUUCCACCCACCUUAUUAACUAAACUGAUAACUUGGCACUCCACACAUCCCCUACCCUGUUUUACCCAGGAGCAGGAGAGCAAUGAUAAGAAAAACUCGGAAGCAUUUUGAGUGAAUGCUGUAAAAUCAAUAUAUUCUGCACCUCGGUAGAGAGAUGUUUUGGCAAGUUUUUCCAGAAGACCACCUCAGUUACCUCAGUUAUUCCAAGACUAACAAGCAAGUCUCUAAGUCAGUUAUUUCUGGUUGCUACCUUCUGAUGGUCAUUUUUCCUUUUUUCAGAAAUAUGUACAACAGCUCCCUGAAUGCAACUGUUAUGAUGCAAAACAAACUGCAUGAUUAGGAAAUUGAGCAAAUUCAGGUGCCUUUCUGUAAAUUACUGACUGCUUUCUCUCUAAUCUCUUAAUCUACUCAGAUCUCUUUGAAUUAUUUCUCUCUCUACAGCUUUUGCGUCGCUCUCAGAUGCUGUGCCACCCAGGCAUUAAAUAAAUGUGCAGUUAUCUUGUCUCCUUGAUAAUUAACAGAGAUGUUAAGGGCUAGUACCAAUUCAGUGGCAUGGGCUGGAAACCUUCCAUUACCUGGUAUGUCAUUGUUUAUGCUCUAUUAAGCAGUUUUCAUUUCACCUUAUGGGCCCAUAUAACAUCCAAGCUAGUGGUUUCUCAAAUUACAGGUGGUACUACAGAUUUUAUUAAAUAGCCUCUUCUUUUUGUUUUCAGAAUCAUCUUUAUAUAUAUUGCAGACAAUCUGGAAAAUUAAAUUGGGCAAUAUAUAUGUCUUAAGGUUUUCAGUUUUCUCUCUUUCUCUCUCUCAAUUAUAUCCAUUGUUUUACAAGAUAGAAUAAUGGCAGUGUUUCUCAUUUUCAAGAUAAUAUAUUUUAUUGUUCUUGUUUAUCUUUUUCCCAGAUUAUCAUUGGUGUUUUGACUCAUUUUAUCAAGAGAUGCCUUUAAUUUUCCAAAAGUUCUUUUGUUCUAGCUUUAUUUCCAUCAUUCUUACAUACAAAAUAUGCAUGUUGGCAUCAUGCAAAAGUCAGUGGAUCAGAGGCAUCAUAUGGAGCGGCUUAGCUGCUCUCAAAAUCUUGUUAUGCAGGCUUUAGUCAGACAGGCUAAUACAGCUGCCAGAGAAGGGCUGAACACUCAAAAGGCUUUAGUCAUCAAAAUAUACAGUAGAACAGUAGAAAAUGUACGUAAGUAUUCACUUACCUGCUUUUGAUCAACAAUUAUUUCGAGGUCUUCAUCACUGCUUAGUUUUCCAUAUCCUUGUUCUUUACUUUUCUUGUGAAAGAAUAAUUUUAAAUGAUCAUUUAGUUUCUAUCCAUUAACAAUCUUAAUUCUACUUAAUAUUUUUAAAGAUAAAAGUCUUAGCCUUGUUCACCAGUCAUAAUGCAUCAUUCUUUAUAUAAAUUGCUCAUGUACAACAGCAAAUGUUUUUAUUGUUAAACUGCUGUCUUAUAAUUAUUCAUUAACAAUAUCUGCUUAGCCUCCAC